CCUACGGGAGGCAGCAGUGAGGAAUAUUGGUCAAUGGGCGCGAGCCUGAACCAGCCAAGUAGCGUGAAGGAUGACUGCCCUACGGGUUGUAAACUUCUUUUAUAAAGGAAUAAAGUGAGGCACGUGUGCCUUUUUGUAUGUCCUUUAUGAAUAAGGAUCGGCUAACUCCGUGCCAGCAGCCGCGGUAAUACGGAGGAUCCGAGCGUUAUCCGGAUUUCUUGGGUUUAAAGGGUGCGCAGAUGGGUUGUUAAGUCAGUUGUGAAAGUUUGAGGCUCAACCGUAAAAUUGCAAUUGAUACUGGCAGUCUUGAGUACAGUUGAGGUAGGCGGAAUUCGUGGUGGAGCGGUGAAAUGCUUAGAGAUCACGAAGAACUCCGAUUGCGAAGGCAGCUUACUAAACUGCCACUGACAUUGAUGCUCGAAAGUGUGGGGAUCAAACAGGAUUAGAUACCCUGGUAGUC
rnacentral:rRNA from 1 species